rnacentral:rRNA from 1 species
AGUGAACGCUGGCGGCAGGCCUAACACAUGCAAGUCGAGCGGCAGCGCGGGGGCAACCCUGGCGGCGAGCGGCGGACGGGUGAGGAAUUCGUCGGAAUCUGCCUUUUUGUGGGGGAUAACGUAGGGAAACUUACGCUAAUACCGCAUACGUCCUACGGGAGAAAGUGGGGGACCGCAAGGCCUCACGCAGAUAGAUGAGCCGACGACCGAUUAGCUAGUUGGUGGGGUAAAGGCCCACCAAGGCGACGAUCGGUAGCUGGUCUGAGAGGAUGAUCAGCCACACUGGGACUGAGACACGGCCCAGACUCCUACGGGAGGCAGCAGUGGGGAAUAUUGGACAAUGGGCGCAAGCCUGAUCCAGCCAUGCCGCGUGUGUGAAGAAGGCCUUCGGGUUGUAAAGCACUUUUGUCCGGAAAGAAAUCCCUGGAGCUAAUACCUUCGGGGGAUGACGGUACCGGAAGAAUAAGCACCGGCUAACUUCGUG